rnacentral:rRNA from 1 species
AGUUUGAUCCUGGCUCAGAACGAACGCUGGCGGCAGGCUUAACACAUGCAAGUCGAACGCCCCGCAAGGGGAGUGGCAGACGGGUGAGUAACGCGUGGGAACAUACCCUUUCCUGCGGAAUAGCUCCGGGAAACUGGAAUUAAUACCGCAUACGCCCUACGGGGGAAAGAUUUAUCGGGGAAGGAUUGGCCCGCGUUGGAUUAGCUAGUUGGUGGGGUAAAGGCCUACCAAGGCGACGAUCCAUAGCUGGUCUGAGAGGAUGAUCAGCCACAUUGGGACUGAGACACGGCCCAAACUCCUACGGGAGGCAGCAGUGGGGAAUAUUGGACAAUGGGCGCAAGCCUGAUCCAGCCAUGCCGCGUGAGUGAUGAAGGCCUUAGGGUUGUAAAGCUCUUUCACCGGAGAAGAUAAUGACGGUAUCCGGAGAAGAAGCCCCGGCUAACUUCGUGCCAGCAGCCGCGGUAAU